UGGCCACCAUCGCCUGAAUCUGCUUCGAAGCAGACCAAUUCUUGCUGACGACUUGGCCAUAUAAUCCUCCUCCGGUGACAUUGCUACGCGUUCCAAACGACCAAGACCGUGACGUCGUCCUUCUUUGGUUACUGCAACCACUUCCUCCACUGUUUCUAUCUCUCCUCUCAUCAGCGUUUAAGCCAAUGAGGAGACUUGUUAAAGCACGCUUAGCUCUACGAACGCUUCCGUCACAUAACGGCCGUUGCUUAAGCGCCGUGACAGCUAUCUCCGCAAAACGUCGGCUCUGUCUAACGGAAUCAAUCCCGUUAACGACGGCGUUACAUAAAUCUAACGCCUUUAAAAUCCGAUCAAGCAUUUCCGGCAAAACCCUUUCUAAAGACGGCGAUUUCGAGAUCUGGGUCGUGCUCAACACCGCCUUGAACUCUGCUUCACAGGACAUAAAAACAUCUAGAAGAUUCUGUAACCAAGGGAUCGAGAGAAUCGGAUCAGACGGCUGAGAGACGGCGGAAGAGGAGGAGGAAGGAGGCGGAGAUGGAGAUGUGAUUAAAUCCGAGAAACGUUCG